AAGUAAAAAGUCGUAACAAGGUUUCCGUAGGUGAACCUGCGGAAGGAU
rnacentral:misc_RNA from 1 species